rnacentral:rRNA from 1 species
AUCCAGCGAUGCCGCGUGUGUGAAAAAGGCUGCGGGUUGUAAAAGCACUUUCAGUAGGGAAGAAAAGCCGAAUGCUAAUAUCACUCGGUCUUGACGUUACUUACAGAAAAAAGCACCGGCUAACUCCGUGCCAGCAGCCGCGGUAAUACGGAGGGUGCGAGCGUUAAUCGGAAUUACUGGGCGUAAAGGGCGCGUAGGCGGUUUGGUAAGUCGGGUGUAAAAGCCCCGGGCUCAACCUGGGAGAUUGCAUUCGAUACUGCCUGGCUAGAGUAUGGUAGAGGGAGAGCGGAGGUCCGGGUGUAGCGGUGAAAUGCGUAGAGAUCCGGAGGAACACCAGUGGCGAAGGCGGCUUCCUGGACCAAUACUGACGCUGAGGCGCGAAAGCGUGGGGAGCAAACAGGAGUAGAGACCCUGGUGUCCACGCCCUAAACGAGGAUAGCUAGCCGUUGGAGGAGCUUUGUCCUUAGUGGCGCAGCUAACGCGAUAAGUGUCCGCUGGGGAUUCGGCUGCCAAAUUGUUUUUGCCGCCUUGUCCA